GGGUUGUGAGGUUAAGCGACUAAGCGUACACGGUGGAUGCCCUGGCAGUCAGAGGCGAUGAAGGACGUGCUAAUCUGCGAUAAGCGUCGGUAAGGUGAUAUGAACCGUUAUAACCGGCGAUUUCCGAAUGGGGAAACCCAGUGUGAUUCGUCACACUAUCAUUAACUGAAUCCAUAGGUUAAUGAGGCGAACCGGGGGAACUGAAACAUCUAAGUACCCCGAGGAAAAGAAAUCAACCGAGAUUCCCCCAGUAGCGGCGAGCGAACGGGGAGCAGCCCAGAGCCUGAAUCAGUGUGUGUGUUAGUGGAAGCGUCUGGAAAGGCGCGCGAUACAGGGUGACAGCCCCGUACACAAAAAUGCACAUAUUGUGAGCUCGAUGAGUAGGGCGGGACACGUGGUAUCCUGUCUGAAUAUGGGGGGCCCAUCCUCCAAGGCUAAAUACUCCUGACUGACCGAUAGUGAACCAGUACCGUGAGGGAAAGGCGAAAAGAACCCCGGCGAGGGGAGUGAAAAAGAACCUGAAACCGUGUACGUACAAGCAGUGGGAG
rnacentral:rRNA from 1 species